rnacentral:piRNA from 1 species
UAGAGGAACCAUGUCUACAGGGCAGC